rnacentral:rRNA from 1 species
AUGAGGUGCGCCACAAGCCAUCUUUCAAGUUCGAGGAGUUCUGGCUUCGCCUCCCGGGCUUCAAAGAUACUGUCUCCACGGCUUGAGACCGGCCAGUCCAUGCAACCAACCCCAUCCGGAGGAUCCACAUCAAUAUUAUCCCGGACAGCCAAGGCUCAAAAGAAAUGGCAACGUGAGAGCAUGGGGGUUUUAAAAACCCAGAUAGAGAUUGCCAAGGAGGUCAUCUGGAGACUGGACCUUGCUGAGGAGGGUAGGCCGCUCUCCCCUGCGGAGCAGGAGUUGCGACGAAGGCUGAAGCUUUCCUAUCUCGGCCUUCUAUCCUUCCAAAAAAUCAAGCUACGACAACAUUCCCGCCUCACUCGUAUUAGGCUUUGUGAUGUCAACUCCAAGUUCUUCCAUGAUAAAGUGAAUGGUCACAGACGAAAGAACUACAUUCAGAUGCUUCAGGCGGAUAAUGGAGUUGUGGUCAUGGCUGAAGACAAGGAAGAUGCGCUUUUCUCGCACUUCCAGAGUCACCUUGGAACACAGAAGCCCAGGACCAAGGGGCUCAUUUGGGACAACCUGGGUCUGCACGUGCAUGACCUAUCAGACCUGGAAGCCCCUUUCGAUGAGAGCGAGAUCAAAGACACGAUAUUUUCGCUUCCUUCCGGCAUCCUCAAGCCCAUCCGUGCUCAUUCCACCAGAUGUAUAAUCUCUCUCUUUGCGGAUGAUGCGGGCAUCUUUGCCAACCCUGAUAAGGAGGAUCUGCUGGCGAUCUUGGCCUUCGGGGAGGCUAGUGUCCUAAUCACGAACCUAUCAAAGUCCGAGGUGUUUCCGAUACAGUGCGGGGAAUUUGAGCUCCAGGACAUACUCACCAUCUUUCCCGCCAAGAUUGCCAGCUUCCCAGGAUGCUACCUUGGACUUCCAUUGCACUAG